UCAUAGUCUCCAUCCCUGGUGUGCUCUGUGUCUGUCCAGAGCCCCUGUUUCCUAGCUGGGGACCCUGACUCCUCAGCUCAGUCAGACAUGCUUUUGGGUGAGGGGUUGGUCAUUCUGCCCUGAAGCGUGCAUUACAAAACUAUGUGCUGUAGAACAGCUUUAACAAGGAAGGCAGAAUGUCCCUGCAGAAACACUACAAAGCUGUCAUGCAUGGGCCAGGACGUUGGACUAAAUGAUCUUAGAGGUCUUUUCCAACCGUAAUGGUUCUACGUGAAUGGAAUAGGAGAGAGCUGAACCCAUGAACUGCAUGUAGGACUGUGUAUACCCUCAGUGCAGAUCUCCCCCAGACUUUCAUGCUGCACCACCUCCUGUGUUCAGAAGCAAAAGGCACCAAUCCUUUCUCAUGUCUGAUGAUGCUGUGGGCUGUCUCACUGCCAGUGGAAUGCAGGAAGCUCCUUCUUCUAUUGUUAAGAAACUAGGUUUACUUGCCUAUUAAGGUAUGUUUACAGAGGUGCCAGCAUCUCUAAUACAGCUAGCAGUUGCAGUUAUUAAAAAAACAAACAAACAAAAAGCCAACACAAAAUACUGGACCUCUUUCUCCUCUUUUCCCUAAAAUCCAGUAUCCUUACCUUCUAACUAACUUCAACUGUGGUCAUGCAAGCAAAGUGACUGGUUUUAAAGAACUGGGGGAGCAGACAGCUUGGCAGUGGUGGGAUUCAGGACCUCGCUGUAUAGAAAAAGGCACAAAUCUCUGCAAUAUGAGGGAAAUUUGAUAAACACAUAUGAAAGUAAUAAUCGGUUACAGUUUUCCUAUGGUGGGUUUUAGGUUAUUUUCUUAUCUGAUCUAUGCUAGUGGCUAUGACGACUUCUAGAGCAGCAGUGUUGGAGAUCAGACUAUAGACGGGGCUUCAUCCCUUUAGCACUGUGUUGUGUUGUGUUGUGUUGUGCAGGCUGAAUGCUCAGUGCUGGGCUACCUGACGUCUGCAGCAGUGCCUGCGGAGCUGCCUCUGCACCUCUGGGGACUGCUGACCUGUGCUUGGGACUCUAAUUCAGAAAGGUGUUGGUGAGACCCAAAUCGUACGGUGGAUCGUAGCGUGUUUUUACCAUCCCUCACUGGAGCGGAGCAAUCGCAACGGGACGCACUGCUGAUCGAUACGUUCAGAGGAUCUGGUGACCCUCGCUGUGGCCAUGCCCAAGCCACCCGCUUUGCAGACAGAGGUGAUCUUGGCCUUCAGGAAGCUCUAUCAGCAGGACUAAGAUGGAAUAGGAGUUGGAAAGCCUAUAGUCAUCAUGGGAAUGGAGACACUGCUUUGUUGGAAAAAAGACCACGUUACAUAGUUUAUCUGGACAAUCACAGCCACUUGCAGCAGCAUUGCCUGUGCUGCAUUUGCUCUUCAGUGAACUGGAGCUGCUUGUCAUCCAGGAGGUCAUCCUGUAGCUCACAGAACUCAAGAACCCAGUGAGGAGACAGCAACUGACUUGAGAAGAGCUACAUUGGAUAUUAAAUGUUCCUAAAAUCACAGAAUGGCUGAAGUUGGAAGGUGAUCUCUUGAGAUUAUCUGGUCCAACUUGCACUUAAGGGAUACCCAGAACAGUGGGCCCAGGAACUUGUCCACAUGGCCUUUGAAUAUCACCUUUUUGGCCAUGUGGAUGCACUGAUGUCUCACGUUCAACUCGAUGGUCACCAGGAUCCAUGGGAGCAUCCUACCAGGAUUCAUAGACUUGUCAUCCUGUGCUAACAGCAAUGCUUCCUUGUAUCUGAAGGUGAGCAGUGUUGAAAUGUACUCUGUGGAAGACAAAACCCCCUGGAACCUGGGGACUACAGCAGCUCUGGGAGAAGGAGGCACUGUGUUGAAUCAGGACGUUGCACAAGAGCCAGCUUCAAACCGUUUAGGGUAUUUGGAUGUGCAACAUUAAUAUCCCACUCAUGCUCUGCUUUGAUUGCUGAUUGCUUCUAUUUAUAAUCGGAUAUCAUCAGAGUUCCUUCACUUCUUCCUCUCAAAUAGACUGCACCUCCUUCUCAUCCUCCUCCACCUCUCCUUCCCCCCUGCUGAGACCCACCAUGGAGCCACUUCUACAUUUUGCUUGCAAUAAAGUAAAAGGUUAUGUGGUUCCAUUCUAACUCCUUGGUCAUAGCUAUGUAAAAAGCCUCAAAUGAGGACAUCAAGGAGAAGCAGAGCAAAACUUCCAUGAGUACCAGAUGCACAGGGUAGUACACCUCACAGAGGCCAAGAAGAAAGAAAACCUUUGAUUAAAUUACUUGGAUUGUAUCCCCCAAAAUUUAUUACCCAUUGUUUCAUUUAAAAUCAGAGAGAAAGCUCUUAGGAGUGUAUUUUAGAAAGCAACCCAUUAUCUUGCACAUGGUAUAGCUUCAGUCUGCCAAUAGAAAGUGGAGAUUUUGUAUCAGUGGUUAAAAUUGAAAAUGUCUGAUUGCAUUCUCACUGUAACUGUUUUCACUCGCCAAGUUAGAGAAGGCUGAAAGAAACUGUGUAGAUCAAAUCCCUCUUUGGCAUUCCCAUGUCCUUGUUAGUGUGAUUGAUACAGAAGCAUUCCCC
ensembl:lncRNA